rnacentral:rRNA from 1 species
GUAAUUACUUUUUGUUAAAUAAUUUUAUUGAUUUUAAUAAAUAUAUAUAUUUGUAGUAUAAUUUAUAGAAUUAAUUAUUAUAUUUAUAUUUAGAGUACUGCGAAGGAAAACAAUAAAUAAAUUAUAAGAAAUUUUUAUUUAUUGUACCUUUUGUAUCAGGGUUUAUUAAAUAAAAAUUAUAUAUAUAAUUUUCCCGAAAAUUAAAGAGAUAUAUUUAUAUUUUUGUUUAAGUUUCAAAUUAAUAAAUAAUAUAAAUAUAGUGGUUAUAUGCUUUUCAAUUUAGUUAUAUCUGGUUUUUCUUGAAUUGAAUUUAAUUCAAAAAUUAUCUGUUAUUUAAAAAUUUAUUUUAAUUAAAGAUAAUUUAAAUAAUUAAAGGGACAAGCUUUUAAUUAAUUUUUAUAAUUUAUUAUUAUUUUAAAUUUAUUUAGGAUUAAUAUUUUCUUUUUUUAUAUUUUUAUAAAAAAAAUUUAUAUAUUAUAUAUUUUUUAUAAUUUAAAACUUUAAAGAAACAUAUUAUAUAAUUUUUAUAUAAUAUAUAUAAUGAUAAAAUUAGUAACAUUUAAAAUUAAAAUUAAGAACUCGGCAACUUUAUUUUCCGACUGUUUAAUAAAAACAUUUUUUUUUGUUUUUAUAAAAAGUAAAACCUGCCCUAUGAUAAAAUUAAAUGGCCGCGAUUAUUAUCGUGCAAAGGUAGCAUAAUAAUUUGUCCUUUAAAUGAGGUCUAGAAUGAAAGGUUUAACGAGAAAAUAACUUUUUUAUUUUAAUUUUUUUGAAUUUUAUUUUUUAGUUAAAAAGCUAAAAUAUAAUUAUGGGACGAUAAGACCCUAUAGAAUUUUAUUUUUUAUAUAAAAAAUAAACUUUAUUUUUAUUUUUAUAUUUUAUAUAAAAAAUUUGGUUGGGGCGACUUUUAUAUUAACUAAACUAUAUUUUUAUAUUAUUCAUUAAUUUAUGAUUUAUUGAUCCUAAAAUUUAGAUUAAAAGAAUAAAUUACCUUAGGGAUAACAGCGUAAUUUUCUUGGGGAGUUCUUAUUUAUAAGAAAGUUUGCGACCUCGAUGUUGGAUUAAAAUUAAUUUAUAAUGCAGAAGUUAUAAUUUUAAGUCUGUUCGACUUUUAAAAUUUUACAUGAUCUGAGUUAAGACCGGCGUGAGCCAGGUUGGUUUCUAUCUAUAAUUAUUAUAAUAUGCUUUAGUACGAAAGGACCAAGCAUAGCAAAUAUUUUG